UUCAAAUGGAAGGUGGAGAACUGAAGCCAUUAUUUGGAUGACUUAUUAGAAAAGGUUGACAGAGAAGAAAAGGAGGUCUAUGGACAUAUGCAUUGACAAAUGAGGCCCCUCUGCAAAUGAAGGGGGAGAUUUGAUACAGAUCCCCAAAAAGAAGAAAGCCAUGUAAAGGAAGCAGAGGGAAGAGUCAGAGAGAGAAGAUGCUAUGCUGCUGGCUUUGAAGAUGGAAGAAGAGGUCAUGAGCCAAGGAAUGCAGCUCUAGAAGCUGGAAAAGGCAAGAAAACAAAUUCUUCCCAAGAGCCUGUGGUGGGAGUGUGGCCCUGGUAACACCUUGGUUUGGGCCCAUUGAAACUGAUUUUGGACUUCUGGCUUCCAGAACUGUCAAAUAAUAAAUUCUCUUGCAUCAAAUUUGAGGUAACUUAUUACAGCAGCCACAGGAAAACUUAUACAUCCAACAGGACCAUCUCUGCCAGGACUGAAUCCCUGGUUCUGAGAAAUGGACUUUGCAUGUGGAUUGACAACAGUUAUUCUAUUCUUCAUGUAUUUGUCUGCACUUGGGUUUUCAAGGAUAUUUUGAAUGUGAUGUUUGAACUUCAACCUUCAUUUGAGAUACUGUCUGAAAAUAUUUGAUGAGAUUUGUUGGAUUAAAAUGAGAGACUUU